rnacentral:rRNA from 1 species
AUUGAACGCUGGCGGCAUGCCUUACACAUGCAAGUCGAACGGCAGCGGACCUUCGGGUGCCGGCGAGUGGCGAACGGGUGAGUAAUGCAUCGGAACGUGCCAUUGAGUGGGGGGAUAACGUAGCGAAAGUUGCGCUAAUACCGCAUAUUCUGUGAGCAGGAAAGCAGGGGACCGCAAGGCCUUGCGCUCUUUGAGCGGCCGAUGUCAGAUUAGCUAGUUGGUGAGGUAACGGCUUACCAAGGCGACGAUCUGUAGCGGGUCUGAGAGGAUGAUCCGCCACACUGGAACUGAGACACGGUCCAGACUCCUACGGGAGGCAGCAGUGGGGAAUUUUGGACAAUGGGGGCAGCCCUGAUCCAGCCAUGCCGCGUGAGUGAAGAAGGCC